UACGUAGGUGGCAAGCGUUGUCCGGAUUUAUUGGGUUUAAAGGGUGCGUAGGCGGUUGAUUAAGUCAGUGGUGAAAGACGGUCGCUCAACGAUUGCAUUGCCAUUGAUACUGAUUUACUUGAGUAGAGAUGAGGUGGGCGGAAUUGAUAGUGUAGCGGUGAAAUGCAUAGAUAUUAUCAAGAACUCCGAUUGCGAAGGCAGCUCACUGGGUUCUAACUGACGCUGAGGCACGAGAGUGUGGGUAUCAAACAGG
rnacentral:rRNA from 1 species